AAUUCCCCUUUGCUCUGUUAUUUUUGCUUUUGGCUAUCAGGGCCUUUUGUGCUUCCAGAUGAGUUUUGGGGUAGUUUUCCCCUCAUUUCUAUGAAGAAUGAGUUGGGAGUUUUAAUUAGAAUUGCAUUGAAUCUGAAAAGAGCGUCUGGUAGAGUAGUCACUUCCAUAAUAUUGUCAGUCCAUUUGCAUUGUAUAUCUUGCCAUUCUUCCUGAAUCUCUUAAUUCAGAGUUUUGAAGUUUCCACCAUAGAUGUCUUUCACAUCCUUGGUUAGGUUUAUUCCUAGAUAUUUUUACUUUCUUUGAUGCUGUCUGUGAAUGCAAGCGUGUCCAUUAUUUUUCCCAUGAUGUUUGUUGUCGGUGUGUAGAAAAUCUAUGGCUUUUUCUACGUUGAUCCUGUGUCCUGACACUUUGAUAAAACUGUUGAUAGUAUCUAGAAUUUUUCUGGUGGGAUUCUGGAACCUCUUGUGUGUAAUAUCAUGUUGUCUGCAGACAGAAAUUGUUGGGUUUUCUUUUCUUUUCUUGUUUGUAUCCCUCCAGUUUUCAUCUCUUGUCUUAUGGCUGGUGGACCAAGGAUGGUGGAGAGAUAAAGAAUCUCCCAGUGAGAAAUUAGGGAAGUGUCACCUAAUGGACAGGAAGGUGCAGGAUCCAGUGACCCAUCCUUCUGAGAGGGAACAUCAGCGGUCGGCCAGCCUGAUCUUAUGGGCCUCUUGCCAUUAGUGACAGCUGUUCCGAUGAAGCUGGCAGAUACUACGAUUGGAAGAUAUCAUUCUGCAACACACAGCUGAAAGCAUUUCCUUUUCUUUCAGUGCAAAAAAGGGCAGAGAUGAAUUUUUGCCCAAAAAUAUGUUGGAAAAGAGAAAUUAUAAUUAUGAUAUAAUAAAAUGCGUUAGAAU
rnacentral:lncRNA from 1 species